rnacentral:sRNA from 1 species
UAGACUAGGACUUCCGAAAGCUGAGUGC